CGCGCGGGUAACAGCCCGCGUGGAUGACGGUACCGUAAGAAGAAGCACCGGCUAACUACGUGCCAGCAGCCGCGGUAAUACGUAGGGUGCGAGCGUUAAUCGGAAUUACUGGGCGUAAAGCGUGCGCAGGCGGCGCCGCAAGUCGAGUGUGAAAUCCCCGAGCUUAACUUGGGAAUUGCGCUCGAAACUACGGUGCUGGAGUGUGGCAGAGGGAGGUGGAAUUCCACGUGUAGCGGUGAAAUGCGUAGAGAUGUGGAGGAACACCGAUGGCGAAGGCAGCCUCCUGGGCCAACACUGACGCUCAUGCAACGAAAGCGUGGGGAGCAAACAGGAUUAGAUACCCUGGUAGUCCACGCCCUAAACGAUGAUGACUAGUUGUUGGGGGAGUUAAAUCCCUUAGUAACGCAGCUAACGCGUGAAGUCAUCCGCCUGGGGAGUACGGUCGCAAGAUUAA
rnacentral:rRNA from 1 species